AGACUGUUGGUGGUGAGGACACUACCGAAGAAGAUCCUUUAAGUAUUCCCAAGCAUGAUAGAGGUUUUCAUCAGCCUUCUAUUUAAAGCUCAGUAUUUCACUGCAAGUCU